CAGGGGGAGGUGAAUAUUUUCACGAAACGUUUGUUCGCCACCACAGCAAGUUUGCUGUGGUGGCGAACAAACGUUUCGUGAAAAUAUUCACACACCCCACCC